rnacentral:tRNA from 1 species
AGGGCUAUAGCCAAGCGGUAAGGCAACUGACUCUGAAUCAGUUAAUCGGGGGUUCAAAUCCCUCUAGCCCUGCCA